rnacentral:rRNA from 1 species
UGGGCGCAAGCCUGAUCCAGCAAUGCCGCGUGAGUGAUGAAGGCCCUAGGGUUGUAAAGCUCUUUUACCCGGGAAGAUAAUGACUGUACCGGGAGAAUAAGCCCCGGCUAACUCCGUGCCAGCACCGCGGUAAUAAGGGCG